GGUUUUGGCGGAGUGGUUAAGUAGUUGUUUGUUUUAAACGAGUAGACGCAGGUUCGAGUCCUGCGGCUCA
rnacentral:tRNA from 1 species